rfam:Gossypium arboreum cultivar AKA8401 contig_101174_3, whole genome shotgun sequence.
GGGUGCGAUCAUACCAGCACUAAUGCACCGGAUCCCAUCAGAACUCCGCAAUUAAGCGUGCAUGGGCG